UAAGAAAAAAAAAGAACAUAGCCAAAUUUGAGAAAAAAGGCUUUGAAGCAUAAAAACAACUCCAUAUUAUUUGGAAAAAUAUAGACAAGUUUUAUCAGAAUACAAUAAAGGUACAAUAUAUUACGCCUACAAAUUAACUUAACCAUUUCUCACAGUUGGCCUGGAUUAUAUUUAUCAGUUUAAUGUAUCAAGAUUUUUUUAUAUAUAAAGUUUUCAAGCUGACCAUUUUUGUGUUUCAACGUAAGACAAGAAUUACUUCAUAUAUAUUACAGACUAUGUAACAGUACCUGGUGGCAAAUCUGCAGCGCCACAUUUGGAAACGUCAGGUCCGGGCACAGGAGCCGCGAAGGCAAAGGGAUGACCACCAACAAGAGUAGCAGCACCAUAAAUGCCUCCUAAUCCAAGUAGCAUGUUUCUUCUAUCAAUGAUCUUAUUGUUUGAAGAAUCAGAAGAUUUGGAAGUGUUGAUGGUUUGGUCAUCUUCUGUACCCUUGCAUGAAACUUGGAAACGAUAGUUACUGCACUUUCCUAUAGUGAAAACUUUUGAUGUCUUUGUAAAGAAAGGAGAAGAAUGCAAAUUGGAAAGAGGUGUGGUGGUUAAAGAAGAAGAUGAAGAAGAGAUGACAUUGGUGGUGAGAGGGGGAAGAGAAGCCAUUACUAUAAUUUUUGCUUUGUUUGAGGUGUAGUUCAUGAACAUCUAGGAUUAGCAUUUAUAUAGAAUAUGGAGCAAAGACUUUCCCCUAUAAACUUAUGGUGAAAAAGAAAAAUAAUACUAACCAAAAAGAAAUACAUGUCAGGAAGAUGCUUGCAUAUCUUAACUUCCAGCAGCACGUGAUUUUCUUCGUAUUUAUUUGUUUGUUUAAUUCGUAAUUUGAAAUCAUUAAUACAAAAAUCCACGUUCGUCUGAGGUGUUGUAAGACCUUUUUAUUUAUUUAUUUACAAGAAUGUAAGAACUUGAGUGAUCACUGCACAGCAUAAUACAGAAAUGGAAUUGUCCUUCUAGAUAUAGCUGGUUGGUUUAGAUUUUAGAAUUAAGAAAUUAAUGAUUUUUUCAAAUAUUGUGUCUGCCGUGUCAAAAUUUAAUUAGUUUAGACUUAUUUUUUUUAUUUACAAUUAAGAGCAAGUUCCGAUGCAAUCUCAAAACAGGAAGCAGCUUAUGAAGCUUCAACGCCUUCAAUUAUUCAACAAUUCAACAUGUAGAUAGAUAAUGGUGUUAACCAAUAUUAUAUUGUAAAUAUUUCGGGUUAGUGAGAGUCUUGAAGGGAGCACAUUUUUGACAUAGAAGGGAGCACAUUUUUAGGACAUUUUAGGAGAGGACAUUUUUAGGAGGGAUAGUUUUUAGAGAGGAUUAUUUUUGGAGAGAGGAAGACAUUCUGAAAAUCCUAAGAGAGUGUUGGAGAGUUUAAAAAGAAAAAACAAAAAUAAAGUGAGAGACGAGUUUAGUUUCGGGUUUAAUACACGCGUGAUUGAGUCUGUUUGUGAUGACGUGGGUUGUUGCUGUUUAGUAAUUCAAAUAAACAGGGGAAAAUAUUGCUCAUAAUUAACAAGUAGAUCAGUUUUACAAGUGCGUAUUAUUUUAUUUAUCCAGUUAGGCAAAGAAUCAAGACGUGCAGCCUUGUAUAACAUCAACCGACCAUUCAGUAUAAUGUCGAAAGAGUAGAAUAAGUGGAAAUUAAAAUAAUCUUGCUAAUUUUUUAAAUGCAGGUUAGAGGAUGCUAAAACCCUACAACGAGAGUGCUCGCAUAGCAAAAAGACCAUUGAGGUAGGGAAAAUUUUAUUUUGUCUGUCAUGCAACUAACAUUAGUUGUAUGAGGCAAUUUUUUUGUUUCACAAUUUUGUGGACCCAGAUUUCUGUGAACCCAGAAAUGUAAGAUUGAGGUCCACAAAUUUGUGAGAUAAAAAGGAGCCUCAUACAACUAGUAUAAGUUGUAUAAGACACAAAAUAAAACUUCUCGGAAGGUAGUACUGGUUUGCCCAUUCGGAUUUGUAAAUGCUGAACUUCAAUAUUUAAAAUGGUAGUGAACUCUUAAAAAACUUGUUAAAUAAGUUAAGCAAAUAAGUGCUCGUUUGGAUGAGUUUUUUAAAAUGAUUUUAAGCAAAUAAGUUAAGAAUUCUAGCUUUUGGCUUUUGGCUUGUUUUUGUCAUUUUAGCUUAAAAAUACGUGCUUAAAAGCACUUUUGUUACUUUAUCCAAAUACUACAAAAUGACUUAAAAGCUAUUUUGGCUUAAAAGCACUUAGUGGACGUUUGAACAUAAGAAUUGUAAAAUUCCAAAAAAAAAAAAUAAAAAAAAAUUCAAGUGAAAAUGAUAUUUGAAAUUUAGAGUUGUAUUUGGACAUGAAUAUCAUUUUGGAUUAUUUUUGAAGUUUUGUGAGUGAUCUGAGUGAAAAUUUUGAAAAACAAUUUUUUGGAGUUUUUCAAAUUUUCGAAAAAUUCCAAAAUACAUCUUAUGAAUAAACGAUGGUAACCUAUUUCCUGGAGGUGCGUGUUGGACUAACAUGGCCACCAAUCGACGACCUCACACUAGGAAAUAAUGUAAAAUUGGAAAUUGCCCUACUUAAUUAGUUUGAAAAACUACUAGUUGUAGUUAUAAUACAUGUAGAAGAAAAUGAUAAAAUAUCCAUGUAAGUAGUUUUCUUCCUUUAUUCCAUUCAAACACGCUUACAAUAUCAAGAAACUUAAAAUGCUUAAUUCAUUGAGGAAAUUGAUUAAAACCCUUUUAUUUUUCUAGUCAUAAUCAAUUCUCAAAGAUAGCGGGAAUACAGAAAUAUAAAAUAAGGUUGCGUAUAAUAGACUCUUGCGGUCUGAUCCUUUCCCGAAUCCCGUGUAUAGCGGGAGCUUAGUGCACUAGGUGUCAAUCAAUCCUCAAGCACAAUCUUGACACCUCCAAUUUUUACAGCACCAGAACCAUUCUUUGGAACAAAAGUCACCACCACAUGAUCAUCAUCCUCAGCAUCUAAAUCUUCCAACAGCUCAGUUAUAGCCAACUUCAACUUAGUUUUACGUUUCUUGUCACUCUUACCAUGACUAUGAUGUGGCACGUUAACAAAACUACCUGCAAACUCAGCAUUAUUCGGCGAAAUUACAGUCUCAUCUUCAUCAUUAAUCAACACAUCAAACUUGACAAAAACAUCAGUUUCCAGCUCUAUCCCUUCAACUACUAAAAACUCCUCUUUUGCAUCUUUCUCCUUCUUGUUUCUCUUCUUAAUUGGCCUCUUUACCAUAACUCUUAUCACAUGGUCAAGUUUCGUUGGGAAAACAUCUUUUGCACUUGGAAAAUUAUCAGCUGCUCUUGCUUCAACAAGCCUCCUUACACUACUCAAAGCACUUGAAACCCUAGCCCUUGGACGAGAAUUUAUCCACGGAUUAGCUACACCUUGAUAAACGUAUCCAAGUCUUGUUGUAUCCAAACAGUCACGUACCCUAAUACGUACCAUUUGUGCUUUCUCAUCAUAAAACAAAAACGAAGCAUUUAAGAAAUCAGGGUCAGUAAAAUCUUGACGUCUUCCACCUAGGGUUUUCCAAACACUCCACAAUCUAUCAAUAUUAGAAUGAUGAGCAUAGAAAAUAGGGUCUCUAGCAGCUGAAUAAAAAUCUCCCAUGUUCUCAAAAUUAGGUUGGGUUCUAUCACCGGUCCAAACAUGGACCGGUCCAUGUGGAAUGUUCUCGAGGGACCCAGCACCACCCGGUUCGCCACCGGCACGGUAAGGGUCUCCGAGGAAAGUCGCUGGAGUACUUCCUAGUGAAACCAUUUGCCUAUACAUGAUAGUGAGAUUUUGGGAAGUUUGUUGAGCGUUACUUAUGUUAGGAUCCGUUCCAUUGAAGUCGAGAUCGACCAUGACCGGAGGCUGAUGCCUCCGAUCACGGAGAGGAUCAAAGAGAGAAGAACUACGGUUCGCAUACAUGGCAGGAAGUCUCAUGCCAUCAGGAUGAUCCCAGUUCCAAAAUGGGAUAACGAAAGUAGGGUCAUUUAUCAAACUUCCCAAGAUUUUUUCGAAGAAGUAGAGAUAACAACGAUGAAAAGGGAGGAAAAGCCAAGAGAAAUGAACUUGGAGUUCAGAGUUUGGGAAACCUAGUUGGUCAUAGGCACCGUCACAGUAAGCACAAUGAACAUUUGCUUGUUGCCUGAAGCUACGUGGAUCAUCGUCUGGAAGUUGUUUCAUGAGCUGAAUAGCUCUGUUGAAUUUCUCUAUAUAGGCACUAUCGGCGGAAUGAGCUGCUGGCCGUGUACGGAGGGUGGCUGACGGUGGUGGAAGUUGGAAGUCGAUGAUGUUCGCCGUUGUCGGAGGACAACAGUUGACUGGUGCUGCACCUGUGACAAAAAUAGAAAUUAGACAAAUUUGAGACAAAAGGCUUUGAAGCGUAAAAACAACUCCAUAUUAUUUGGAAACAUAUAGACAACUUUUAUCAGAAUACAAUAAAAGUACAAUAUAUUAUACAUAUUAACCUAACCAUUUAUCAUAGAAGGCCUGGAUUUAUCAGUUUAAUGUAUCAAGAUUUUUUUAUUUAUAAAGCUUUCAAGCAAACCAUUUUUGUGUUUCAACGUAAGACAAGCUCAUGACUUCAUAGUUCAUAUAUAUUACAGACUAUGUAACAGUACCUGGUGGCAAAUCUGCAGGGCCACAUUUGGAAACGUCAGGUCCGGGCACAGGAGCCGCGAAGGCAAAGGGAUGACCACCAACAAGAGUAGCAGCACCAUAAAUGCCUCCUAAUCCAAGUAGCAUGUUUCUUCUAUCAAU
rnacentral:lncRNA from 1 species